GACGUAGGGUCCAAGCGUUGUCCGGAUUUACUGGGCGUAAAGAGCGCGUAGGCGGUCUGUUAAGUGUGACGUGAAAUCUCCAGGGCUCAACCCGGAAACUGCUUUACAUACUGACAGACUGGAGUGAUGCAGAGGUUUGUGGAAUUCCUGGUGUAACGGUGAAAUGUGUUGAUAUCAGGAGGAACACCCAUGGCGAAGGCAGCAAACUGGGCAUCAACUGACGCUGAGGCGCGAAAGCGUGGGUAGCAAACAGG
rnacentral:rRNA from 1 species